GCGGAGAACUGGAUGAUCGCGGCCCUUCGGGGUCGAGGAAAGUCCGGACUCCACAAAGAAAUGGUGCCGGGUAACGCCCGGGCGGGGCAACCCGACGGAUAGCGCAACAGAAAGCAAACCGCCUGCGCUGGUCGUAGGUAAGGGUGAAAGGGUGGGGUAAGAGCCCACCGGGGGCCUGG
rnacentral:RNase_P_RNA from 1 species